ACGACAGGACAAUAUUUCUAAUCGUCCUGUGCAUUGUCUAUUGGGACAGGGUUUUCCCUGCUGUUUCUUUCGUGCCUGAAGUAAAAAGAUGCACACUACCACCUCCUGGCAGUAUGCAACCUUGCGAACAAACAAGAACACCCAGACAGGACUUCUUGAGGAUGCUCACGUUGUGGUUAUUCGUGUUUCUCAUAGCCCAUCCGGAGGCAUGUCGUCGCGCUUCCUCGCAAUCAGCAUGAAAAACACGAGGAGAGACAGCAAGGAGUCCGAAGACGUUGUCGAGGUAUAUUUAUUGUCGAUUCGUUUAUGAAUCUGACGGAUCCUUCUCUCCCGUGCAUAACUCUAUACACGUCAUUCAAUUACUUGGGUGUUUCCCAAGGAGGCGAA